rnacentral:tRNA from 1 species
CAUGCGCUGGGCGACGCGGCGCGCCUGAUCGCGCUGGGCGAUGCCGACGUGAUGGUGGCCGGCGGUGCGGAAGCCGCCGUGUGCGA